GAGGGAAGGCAUGUUUUGGUCAUUACUGACAUUGGAAAGAAAGCGUGUGAAGCAAGCAUGGUUAGAUACUAGUUCGUCCAUCAAUAAAGAGUGGUAUAGUUGUGGGGGGCUUCCCCUUUUUGGCCCGUAGCUCACGCAGCAAUCGCCCCGCGGAGGGAGUACGGACGCAAGGAUAAAAAUCAAAGGAAUGGGGGGGGGCACAAACAAGGGAUCGAGCUUUUGGAUUAGUUCGAAGCAAAGGAAAGAACC
rnacentral:rRNA from 1 species